AGAGUUUGAUCCUGGCUCAGGAUGAACGCUAGCGACAGGCUUAACACAUGCAAGUCGAGGGGCAGCACAGGUAGCAAUACCGGGUGGCGACCGGCGCACGGGUGAGUAACGCGUAUGCAACUUACCUAUCAGAGGGGGAUAACCCGGCGAAAGUCGGACUAAUACCGCAUGAAGCAGGGGCCCCGCAUGGGGAUAUUUGCUAAAGAUUCAUCGCUGAUAGAUAGGCAUGCGUUCCAUUAGGCAGUUGGCGGGGUAACGGCCCACCAAACCGACGAUGGAUAGGGGUUCUGAGAGGAAGGGCCCCCACAUUGGUACUGAGACACGGACCAAACUCCUACGGGAGGCAGCAGUGAGGAAUAUUGGUCAAUGGCCGAGAGGCUGAACCAGCCAAGUCGCGUGAGGGAUGAAGGUUCUAUGGAUCGUAAACCUCUUUUAUAAGGGAAUAAAGUGCGGGACGUGUCCCGUUUUGUAUGUACCUUAUGAAUAAGGAUCGGCUAACUCCGUGCCAGCAGCCGCGGUAAUACGGAGGAUCCGAGCGUUAUCCGGAUUUAUUGGGUUUAAAGGGUGCGUAGGCGGCCUUUUAAGUCAGCGGUGAAAGUCUGUGGCUCAACCAUAGAAUUGCCGUUGAAACUGGGGGGCUUGAGUAUGUUUGAGGCAGGCGGAAUGCGUGGUGUAGCGGUGAAAUGCAUAGAUAUCACGCAGAACCCCGAUUGCGAAGGCAGCCUGCCAAGCCAUGACUGACGCUGAUGCACGAAAGCGUGGGGAUCAAACAGGAUUAGAUACCCUGGUAGUCCACGCAGUAAACGAUGAUCACUAGCUGUUUGCGAUACACUGUAAGCGGCACAGCGAAAGCGUUAAGUGAUCCACCUGGGGAGUACGCCGGCAACGGUGAAACUCAAAGGAAUUGACGGGGGCCC
rnacentral:rRNA from 1 species